GACGAACGCUGGCGGCGUGCUUAACACAUGCAAGUCGAACGGAAAGGCCCUGCUUUUGUGGGGUGCUCGAGUGGCGAACGGGUGAGUAACACGUGAGUAACCUGCCCUUGACUUUGGGAUAACUUCAGGAAACGGGGGCUAAUACCGGAUAGGAGCUCCUGCUGCAUGGUGGGGGUUGGAAAGUUUCGGCGGUUGGGGAUGGACUCGCGGCUUAUCAGCUUGUUGGUGGGGUAGUGGCUUACCAAGGCUUUGACGGGUAGCCGGCCUGAGAGGGUGACCGGCCACAUUGGGACUGAGAUACGGCCCAGACUCCUACGGGAGGCAGCAGUGGGGAAUAUUGCACAAUGGGCGGAAGCCUGAUGCAGCAACGCCGCGUGCGGGAUGAAGGCCUUCGGGUUGUAAACCGCUUUCGCCUGUGACGAAGCGUGAGUGACGGUAAUGGGUAAAGAAGCACCGGCUAACUACGUG
rnacentral:rRNA from 1 species